rnacentral:snRNA from 1 species
AUCCGGAGGAAUGCCUUCC